UACAGAGGUCUCAAGCGUUGUUCGGAUUCAUUGGGCGUAAAGGGUGCGUAGGUGGCGCUGUAAGUCGGGUGUGAAAUUUCGGAGCUUAACUCCGAAACUGCAUUCGAUACUGCGGUGCUUGAGGACUGGAGAGGAGACUGGAAUUCAUGGUGUAGCAGUGAAAUGCGUAGAGAUGUGGAGGAACACCGAUGGCGAAGGCAGCCCCCUGGGCUAACACUGACGCUCAUGCACGAAAGCGUGGGGAGCAAACAGG
rnacentral:rRNA from 1 species